rnacentral:rRNA from 1 species
AGAGUGAACGCUGGCGGCGUGGUUAAGACAUGCAAGUCGAACGGGACGGUAGCAAUACCGUCUAGUGGCGAACGGGUGCGUAACACGUGAGCAACCUACCUGGAAGCGGGGGAUAGCCCGGGGAAACUCGGAUUAAUACUGCAUGUGGUAGCUGGCCGCCUGGCCAGCUUACUAAAGCUUGUAAUGGCACUUCCAGAGGGCUCGCGGCCUAUCAGCUUGUUGGCGGGUAACGCCCACCAAGGCUAAGACGGGUA